CGCAGACUAACAGGAUUUUCCUAGUACGGCGAGUGACGGAAAUUAGCCCAGCACCGAAGCCUAUAAUGUUUGUGGACAGGGCAAUGUGGUGUUAAAGUUUCAACCUGGGUGCACUAGUCUACUCGAAGUCCAACUCCGAUUACGGCUUUGGAUUUAUUGCCAUUGAGGGUGAAAGACCCGUACGGGUAGACAUAACUGUUAUUAGUGCGCCUCAGAUAUUGUUACUUUAGAGUCGGAUUGCUUGAGAAUGCAGUCCAAAGCGGGUGGUAAACUCCAUCCAAGGGUAAAUACUGGCACGAGUCCCAUAGUAAACAAGUACCGUGAGGGAAAGUUGAAAAGUACUCUGAAGAAAGAGUAAAUAGUACGUGAAGCUGCCUGCAUGGAAGCUGGUGGAGUCAAGCUUCUUAGGCUUGGAAUUGGUGCGGAAAAUUAUUUGUUUACGGGUCAAUUGUGUAUCAGCUUGAAAAUGGCUGGAUAGGUUUACCUAUCUUAGGCGUUCCGGGUUGUGCGCUUGUAAUGCAUUCUAAAUUUUGGCUCAUUCUCUUGUACUGUUUCCAAUCCUUAACAUCACAGUCAAUGUGCUUAUAUUGGUUGAUAAUCUUAUCAUGGUCUAUGUGAACUAGUUUUACUGGCUAUGGAAUGGCAGGUAAUAAUAUGAGGACUUCGGUUUACAUGUUUUCUUAAUAUUGGUUUUUACCUUGCCGAUUAUCAUUAUCUUUCAUAUUAUUCAUUAAGCGCAUUUGUUCUUAUAUCAUUUCUCACCGUAACGUUGUAAUGUUGAGAGCUG
rnacentral:rRNA from 1 species